GAGAAGUUAGUUUAUUAAAAUAGUUACUUGUCAAGUAAUAGAUAUAUACUCUUAUAUACUUCUUU
rnacentral:tRNA from 1 species